rnacentral:rRNA from 1 species
UGAACGCUAGCGGCAGGCUUAACACAUGCAAGUCGAGGGGUAACAGGGGAGCUUGCUCCCGCUGACGACCGGCGCACGGGUGAGUAACGCGUAUGCAACCUGCCCUUUACUGGAGAAUAGGUCCGAGAAAUCGGAAUUAAUACUCCAUAAUAUCUUUUUGAGACAUCUCUUUUAGAUUAAAGCUUCGGCGGUAAAGGAUGGGCAUGCGUGCCAUUAGUUAGUUGGUGAGGUAACGGCUCACCAAGACUACGAUGGCUAGGGGGUCUAAAAGGAUGGUCCCCCACACUGGUACUGAGACACGGACCAGACUCCUACGGGAGGCAGCAGUGAGGAAUAUUGGGCAAUGGACGAAAGUCUGACCCAGCCAUGCCGCGUGCAGGAUGAAUGCCCUAUGGGUUGUAAACUGCUUUUGUACAGGAAGAAAAAAACUUACGUGUAAGUAACUGACGGUACUGUACGAAUAAGCAUCGGCUAACUCC